rnacentral:rRNA from 1 species
AGAGUUUGAUCUUGGCUCAGAACGAACGCUGGCGGCAGGCUUAAUACAUGCAAGUCGAACGGCUGUAGCAAUACAGCAGUGGCAGACGGGUGAGUAACACGUGGGAACCUACCUAGGGGUACGGAAUAACUCAGGGAAACUUGUGCUAAUACCGUAUACGACCUCAGGGUGAAAGAUUUAUCGCCCCUAGAUGGGCCCGCGCUGGAUUAGCUAGUUGGUGGGGUAAAAGCCUACCAAGGCGACGAUCCAUAGCUGGUCUGAGAGGAUGAUCAGCCACACUGGGACUGAGACACGGCCCAGACUCCUACGGGAGGCAGCAGUAGGGAAUCUUGGACAAUGGGCGAAAGCCUGAUCCAGCCAUGCCGCGUGAGUGAUGAAGGCCUUAGGGUUGUAAAGCUCUUUCGCCAGGGAAGAUAAUGACGGUACCUGGAUAAGAAGCCCCGGCUAACUUCGUGCCAGCAGCCGCGGUAAUACGAAGGGGGCUAGCGUUGUUCGGAAUUACUGGGCGUAAAGCGCACGUAGGCGGCAUUCCAAGUUGGAGGUGAAAUCCCCGGGCUUAA